UACGCAAAAAAGCCCCCCCAAAUGUUCUUCAAAAAGAUCCCAUACUUUAACAUGGCCUUUUCCACUAAUUUUGAGGUCACGGUGUGGGUCACAGGAGUGAUGUAAAUGGUCAGAAAUCAGGUCACUUCAUCGUCAUAACCCUCCCUUUAAGGCGGUAGUGUCUGCAUUCUGAUAUGUCAUUCUUAGUCUAAAGAGCCCCCUCAAAUGUCCCCAAAAAAGCUCCUAUACUUUUAACAUUGUCCAAAAUCCAAAAACUCUCCAUGUCCAAAAUGUGCGUAAGCCAGCUCCUUAGGUCAACUCAAAGUUGCCCACAUUUUCCCACUACUUUUUCCUUUAUAAAUCCCAAAGUUUGAAUGGCAAGUUACUUUUGCAGUUUUGCAACCCCAUUUUGUGGGUAAGCAAGCUUUAUAAAUGACACCCCAGGCCACUAUAAAACUUACUGAUGUACAUCUGCAGCAUGCAAGGACCAUUUACAGGGGUUGAUUUUAUUUGUCACAGUUUUCACCCCUUCAGAGUUUGUAGGUAUGAACGUUCUUGUUCUCUGCACCAUCACAGUUGAUUCAUUGGUUGAGCCCCAAUACAUAAAAAAUAAAUUAAAUGAACAGGAUAAAUAUUAUAUAUAUAAUGUGUGUGUAUGUAUGUAUGUGUGUGUAAGCUGUUGAAAUAUAUGCUCAUAUAUUUAUUAAUAAAUAUCUAAUAUAUACAUAUGAGACUCACAUGGUCAAGUGUGAUUUUAGUUUUCAGCAGAAACAGACUUUUUUGGGAGUGGGGGUGGGGAGUGGCUCUGCACCUGCACUGGACAGGGGAGCAAAAGUUCAUGAUGCAUUCAGGGAAAAUUGGUGUGUCCAACUAUACUGAAAUAAAAACAUCUAAAGAGGUUUAUUUGUGAAUGCUAUGAGUUUUCUGUAAAAUGAUUAUUGCUUAAAUAUUGCACAUGAAAUUAGCUCAUGCCUGAAGUCUGUUAAGACAUUAUCAGCUGGAAAACCCUAAAUUUUUAAUGUAUCAAGUUUGCAGUCUCAUUGUUCGUGAAAGCAGCAUGUGCAUUGUAGAUGGAAAGUACCGGAGCUGCCCUGGAUCUCUCCAACUUUGUCAGUCUUUGACUAAUUCUACAGAGGAAAAGAGGAAUAACUCCACAGCCCAAAAAGACAUGCAGAGCCAAUGCCCCUCAGGAGCUGGGAUUCCAGAGGAUUUCAAUGAGAAAGAGAAAACAGCAUCUUUCAAAAGAUAAAAGCUGAGAAACAAAAGCAAUGGGCUCGACCAAAGUUCUGAAGAUGAACCCACCUUGUGCACCCAAAGGCCUACAGGGAAAUCAAAGAAGAAGCAGACCAACAAAGGAACACCCACCCAUUCCCCUUCCCUGCUCACUGUCCAUGGUUUUACUCAAGAUCAUCCAGAUAUGAUGAGCCAAGAACCUUCAGGAGCUGAGUGGUCUAAGGAGUCAAAUGGAAAGGACAAAACAGACAUGGAUCAACAGGAUUUAACCUCUAAGAAAUUCAACCGAAAGAUUUGGAGCAAAUCUGGGAAAGAAGCGGUUUGGCAACAGUUUGGUCGGUACAUCACU